AGUUCCGGGCGCUUUGCCGGGCGUUAAUGGCGGCCAACAUCGCCGGUGCUGCGGCUUUCUCCCUAAAGUGUCACAGGAGCUAAGGGCGCUGCUUAACGAACUGCAGAAGACGCAGGCAGAACAUGAAGCAUACUGAAGUAGAGACGGCAGGAUUUUCUCAUGCAUGGAAUAUGGGAUGUGAAUGAAAACAGAAGGAUCACUUGAUGGCUGCGGACCUGAGCAACUGGAGGGAUGGAGUUGCAAUUAGGUGAAGUGAGGAAUUCAGCAGGGGAAGCAAGUUUUGGGGCAGAAGAUUUUAUCAGGGAUAUUUUAGUAAUUAAAUAGUUAGAUUAGUGUCUUAA